rnacentral:lncRNA from 1 species
CUGGUGCCUUAGGAUGGAUGGCACUUGUGCUGAUUCCCUCCCUCCCUUCUUAUAUGCCACCUCCUUCCUCACCAUGUUUCACAUUCUACAUUACACUGCAAGCCUCCUUCCUCUGUGCUGUGAAAGGUCAGAGAAGCAUACUAAAGAAAGACAAAAUUUUGCUUGGUGGUGCAUUCUGCUAUGCACCUGUCUAGAGGACAAAAAGAAAAACCUUAUAUCACAUCUUUCAAGAGAAGACCAGAAUGGUUUGUGAUUCAGGAGUUGUUCGUACACUCUUCUCUUUCAGAGAGGUGAUUUUCUUCAAGCCAGAAGAAGGUAUGAAUUCCUCAAAAAGGAAGAGAGGCAGACACUUCUCCUCAGGGAUGAGAUUAAGAUCACUAUUUGCAUCUGAAAAUCCUAAUUUUCCCUCAGUUGAAAGAAAUAUAACAGGUCCAUUAAGUACCUACAUCAUGAAAAAUAAUUAAAAAUUAUAUUAAUGAUUUCAAGAUUGUCUCCUUUGCUACAGAGAAACACACUGACAUGUACAUUCAGACCAGAUAAACACACCUUUAGUUAGGUGUUUAACACUAAAGUAGUGUGUCCCUUGGGUAUUAGUCCCUGGUUUAAGUGGGUUUAUUUCUGACAAGAUACUGCA